GUAAGUUCAGAGUUGAAUUAUC
rnacentral:miRNA from 1 species